AGCAGCCACUUCUUCUUCUUCUAUUCCUUCUGCUCGACUCACCACCAUCACACUGUUUCGCUGAUACCAGCGCCAUAAUCUGCCUUCUUCUUUUUCUUAAAUCAAUUUUUCUUAUAACCCUCUCGUUUUAUUUCUACAGUAGAACCCUAGAUCCAGGAUUUCUGUUUCUUAUCUAAGGUUUCAAUUAUAUAGAUGAGCAAGAGAUUCCUUUGAUUAAUCUACAGGAUGAUGCGGAUUAAAAACAAAUGCAUGAAAUCAUUUCGAUUAAUCUACACGAGGUUCUUAAUCAGGUGAUGUUUCAUUGUUGGUUUGAUUUUUAUUACAAAUUCGAAGUUCAGUUAAUGUUCAGGCGAUGUUCUUAAUGGGAUUCGUUUGAACAUCUUAGUUAGAAAUCGGCAAUUUCUUUUGCAAGGUAAAGGAUCCUUUCUUCUAAAUCAUUGGGAUAAUCGGAACAAUCGAUCUGAACACUAGUAAAAUCAGAUUUCUUUAUUUAAUUUUGAAGAUGGUUAAGAACCCUAACUUUGUUUCUGUUGUUUGAUAGCCACUAGAAGGUGGACCAGCUAAAAAAUUACCUAAGUUUGGAAAACCAUUGGAUACUUCAUAGUCUGUUUUGUAUAUUGGUUUCUAUGAAAAGGAAAUGGAAGGGGAUCCCUUGGCCUCUACUUGACCAGCUUUAAUAUUCUGGGAGCUCAGUAUAUCAUUAUGAAUAUGGCAACCACCUUUCUGGUGGAAUCCCUUAUCCACCAAUGCAUUUGUCCGGUGGACCUUCACCAUAUUUCAGCGGAUCUGUGAUGGGACAAGGUGGUAUGUCAGGUGGAAUGUCAAGUGGGAUGUACCAAAUGCCCGUUAUAAUGAUAGUUUUUGUUUGGGUUUGCCAAUGGGUCAUGCUGCUAUGGGUUCAAGGUCAGGGAUAUUUCAAGACGAAAAUCCUCCAAGAAAGUCAGUCAGUAAGCAUUUUUAAAGUUGUUAUGACUCGAUGCGCGACAAUGACUGGACUGGUUCGUUCUCCCAAUCAGCGAACAACUUCUGUUUUUCUCAACUUGGUCAUGAAAAAGCUUUUCAAUGAUAAGGUCAAACCUUACAUUCCUGAUUUCAAUCUUGCGUUAGACCACUUCUGCAUACAUGCCGGUGGAAGAGCCGUUAUUGAUGAAUUGGAGAAGAACCUACAGUUGCUUCCUUUAUGUGGAGGCUUCUAGAAUGACCCUUCACCGGUUUGGGAACCCCUCUUCGAGUUCCAUAUGGUAUGAAUUGGCUUAAAUUGAUGCCAAAGGAAGGAUGAGGCAGGGGAACCGAGUCUGGCAUAUUGCUUUGGAACCGAGUCUGGGAAGAUUGCGUUGACAGGUGAAAUGGAGAGGGCACGAGGAAAAUGCAGAACAAAGUCCACAGCUGGCUGCAGCCAAGCAAGCUACAAAGAAAUGCCAUGGAACGACCGUUUGAUUGAUAUUAGAAGACAAGCAAGAGUUCCAUCCCCAAAUCAUUUAAUAUCUGCCAGCGAAGAAGGGGCACAAAAGGGUUGAUUAAGCAAGUACGUUCUAUACAAGGCCUGUCAAAUCUUAUAUCUUGUGCAUUUUCAGAACUCUAGCCAUCUCUGGUGGUGACUAAUCAUGUUAGAUGAACAACUGAAGAAGAGGGCAUCGGAAGAAGCAGUUAUCAGGAUUGUUGAGGACAAGUUGAUAUCCAAUUAGAUAAAGAAACAAGUGGAUUCAGGUAAUCUUGUUGGCACUGCUGGAACUCUUAGAUUUUAAGAUGAGAAAAGAGUCACCUGCCUAUACUUGGCAGUUAUGAAUCAUCUGACAAUUGAACCUAAGUAUCAUUGAACAAAUUGAUAAACAUAAAUAAUGAUUUGAACAAUGUUUGCUUCCCUUUUUUCUUUGUGGAAUGAAUGUCUAGUAGAGUGACUUCUUUUGAGUGGAAUGUUUGAAUGUAGAAUGAAUGUUUAAAGUUUGUAAAAUGAAUGUUUGAAUCGGAUUGAAUGACAAAAAUU